UGGUUCACUCAGCUGUGGUUGAGAUCCUAUUUUCCAUCGCUUGGUGCUCCAUCCAUUUCUUGUCCUUCUGCUAGCUGUUACGGGCUAGUUAUGGAGCCUUUAACUCCUGUAAGUAUGUCCAAAAGGGACAUUUUUUCAUUCUUUUAUUCUUUAAAUUCGAUCUCUUCCUUCUUUCCUUUCCCUCCUUUUUUGACUCCGGACUACGUGCAUCCUCCUUCCACUCUAGAUAGCGCGAGCACCUCUCUGCUC
rnacentral:lncRNA from 1 species